AAUGAACGCUGGCGGCGCGCCUAAUACAUGCAAGUCGAGCGAGAAGACGUAGCAAUACGUUUGUAAAGCGGCGAACGGGUGAGGAAUACAUGGGUAACCUACCCUAGAGUGGGGAAUAACUAGCCGAAAGGUUAGCUAAUACCGCGUACGCUCCUUGGACUUCGGUUCAGGGAGGAAAGCGAUACCGAGGGUAUCGCGCUCUUGGAUGGGCUCAUGUCCUAUCAGCUUGUGGUGAGGUAACGGCUCACCAAGGCUUCGACGGGUAGCCGGUCUGAGAGGAUGGCCAGCCACAUUGGGACUGAGAGACGGCCCAGACUCCUACGGGAGGCAGCAGUGGGGAAUCUUGCGCAAUGGCCGAAAGGCUGACGCAGCGACGCCGCGUGCGGGAGGAAGCUCUUCGGGGUGUAACCGCUGUUGCCCGAACGAACUCUCCUUUAGGGGAGAUUGACGGUACCGGGUGGAGGAAGCGCCGGCUAACUCUGUGCCAACAGCCGCCGCGGUAAG
rnacentral:rRNA from 1 species